rnacentral:lncRNA from 1 species
CCUAGGUUGAACCUGACCCUGAGUUAUCAGGAAAGUGAUGGGGCCAAACUUGAAUGGACCUUUGCCACUUCAGCUUAUAGGAACAGCUAGAGAAGCAGCCAAAGCAGGAAUGGGGGAGGAGGGAAUUCGCACAGUAACCAAGAGAUGGAGAGAUCCAAAGAAAGCUGACUGGUUACAAACAGGCUGAAGAGCCAUCAAGUUAAGAUCCUUUCCAGAGAACUCUGUCUCCUGACAGCAACAGAUCAAUGACUGAGCUGGAAAUAGAAGACAUUUCCCUGAGUUCUUGUUCAUGUACACUGUCCUCUAGUCUAGCCCAUCCUGAGGUGAAUCAUGACCAACUCACCAAGCUUACCCUUCU